UACGUAGGGAGCAAGCGUUGUCCGGAAUCAUUGGGCGUAAAGCGCGCGUAGGCGGCCCUGUAAGUCCGUUGUGAAAGUCAAAGGCUCAACCUUUGAAAGCCGAUGGAUACUGCAGGGCUAGAGUCCGGAAGAGGCGAGUGGAAUUCCUGGUGUAGCGGUGAAAUGCGCAGAUAUCAGGAGGAACACCGGUGGCGAAGGCGGGUCUCUGGGCCGAUACUGACGCUGAGGAGCGAAAGCAUGGGUAGCGAACAGG
rnacentral:rRNA from 1 species